AUCACACAGUAAUUGAUACAUCUCCAACAAGUGGCUCUCCAGGAAAUCAAUUCUGACAGGUCCGUCAGCACCUGGAUUGUCUAACAAGGAUCUUUGCAGGCUCCUUCUCCUCCAUGUGCCCCUUCCUCCUUCAGGCUGUGGGGUCAUCCCAUGGUUGUGUUAGGGGCUCCCUCCUAGCCCCAAGUGGGCUGCUGGGGGAGGAGAAGGCACCAGGGGCCACAUGGAAUAGAUUGAUCAGCGGGCAGAGUCUGCACUCAGAGGUGAAGAAAUGGAGACACAGAGAGGUUAAGUAACUUGCCCAUGUGCACACAGCUAGUGACAAAUGGCAUUAGAAAACAGAUUCUUUGCCUGCCAAAGAGUGACGGUGCAGAUCACUUCCCUCUGGGAUCUUCAUGGGAGAAAGAUAUUAACUUUAGGGUUGUUAUGAGACCCACUUGAAAUAAUCAGGUAAAACUCUUGGCCCACAGCAACCCCACCAUGUCCUCAUCUAGACACUGUUAAAUAGGCAACUAGACACCUUCAUCUUCUUCACCAUGCUUCUUGCCAUCUCUCCAGAGGCUUCUAUUAGAUCACAAGUGGGUUCGAGAGUGAGGCACAUCAGCGGGGCCAUACAAUGAGGAUGAGAUGAACUUUUGGGCCAGAUAGGGAGGCUUCUGGGAACAAGAAGGCUGGGCCUGAGGACAUAACUGACAGAGGAGCUUAACUCAGGUGGGGUGUGUCUGAUGCAGGGUCCUCCAAGCAAAGCAGCCCUGGCACCAUGCACCAUGCACCAUGCACCAUGCAGGGCAGCAGGGAGACUAAGCUCAAGAAGAAGACAGUGUAGGAAGAGCCAGGAAGGAGUCCAGAUUCCAACAGUCCUUGUGAAAAAACUAGAGCAGGGGUUGACAAACUAUAGC
rnacentral:lncRNA from 1 species